rnacentral:rRNA from 1 species
UAAUACGUAGGAGGCAAGCGUUAUCCGGAUUUAUUGGGCGUAAAGAGCGCGUAGGCGGCCUAUUAAGUCAGUUGUGAAAGCUCCUGGCUCAACUGGGAGAGGUCAAUUGAUACUGGUGGGCUUGAGGGCAGCAGAGGGAGGUGGAAUUCCCGGUGUAGCGGUGAAAUGCGUAGAGAUCGGGAGGAACACCAGUGGCGAAGGCGGCCUCCUGGGCUGUUUCUGACGCUGAGGCGCGAAAGCGUGGGGAGCAAACAGGAUUAGAUACCCUGGUAGUCCACGCUGUAAACGAUGGACACUAGGUAUGGGGAGUAUCGACCCUCUCCGUGCCGAAGUUAACGCUAUAAGUGUCCCGCCUGGGGAGUACGGCCGCAAGGCUA